rnacentral:rRNA from 1 species
GACAGAGGGGGCAAGCGUUGUUCGGAAUUACUGGGCGUAAAGGGCUCGUAGGCGGCCAACUAAGUCGGACGUGAAAUCCCCAGGCUCAACCUGGGAACUGCGUCUGAUACUGGAUGGCUUGAGUUUGGGAGAGGGAUGCGGAAUUCCAGGUGUAGCGGUGAAAUGCGUAGAUAUCUGGAGGAACACCGGUGGCGAAGGCGGCAUCCUGGACCAACACUGACGCUGAGUGAGCGAAAGCCAGGGGAGCAAAUGGG